rnacentral:rRNA from 1 species
GUACGGGGGGAGCAAGCGUUGUUCGGAUUUACUGGGCGUAAAGGGCGCGUAGGCGGUGCGGCAAGUCACCUGUGAAACCUCUGGGCUUAACCCAGAGCCUGCAGGCGAAACUGCCGUGCUGGAGUGUGGGAGGAGGUGCGUGGAAUUCGAUGGUGUAGCGGUGAAAUGCGUAGAGAUCAGGAAGAACAUCGGUGGCGAAGGCGGCGCUCUGGGCCGGAACUGACGCUGAGGAGCGAAAGCGUGGGUAGCAAACAGG